UUCCUCUUGUGAAACCUUGGUUGAGAUGCUUUUCCUUACCUAGAUCCACAGGUUAUUUGUCAUCUCUCUUUUAAGCUUCUAGAUUUUGUUUCAGUAUUCUGUUGUCUGUAUAAAGUAUGAAUGAACACUUUGUUCUUCCUAAUUUCCAAAUGUGUAAUUUUCUUCUAAUCUGUGAACAGUUCGUGAAAUUUUGAAUUUGUUUCUCUUAUUUUAGCAAAACAAUGGGUUGACGAUGUUGGUGCUUUGUAUAUCCCAAGCAGCGCCUAUCUUUGCUAGGACCAAUACUACUUUGCUAGUCACUAUAGUCUGCACCCUUUAUAUCUGUAGAAUAUGAUAAGUCUAUCCACCACCGAUUUCUAGAGAUGGUAAGAGACUGGGUUGUUGGUUAAAACUUAAAACAAAACCAGAAUAUGAAAUAGCCGGUGGGGUCUGUGGAAAGCCACAAAAGGGAACUAUUAUGCAUGGCCAAGCCUUGAUAUCUUUACCAACAAAGACUGGCUCACCAGCUGAUCGAAGAUUUUUCUGCACUGCUGGCUUCCCUGUAAGUGUGAACCAUCUUAUGGCUUGAAGGUUUUGUGCCAAAAUCUAAUGCAAAACCUUGGAAUGUCAUCCAUACUCUGCCUUUUUUAACAUGAAGUGCCAGCAUGUUAGAGAGGUAUCAUUGCAUCUUCAUUUUAAAUUAUUCCAAUCACCAGAAAACCUCCUCCCUUGUAAUUGUGCCCUUUUUCACUUGUUUAAUGAAAUCCAUAUUUAAUCUUCCUCUGUUCCCUAAUGUACUGCUUUUACAUUAUUAAUGAAAAGUGGAAUGACCUCUGGUUCCCAUGCUUCAAUUGGCAUGGGAGUUGGUUCCAUUAUCCCAACUUAUUUACCUUUUCAUGUUCUCACUAAAAAAUGUUUUU